AUGGCUGAUGCGCUAAGUCGUAAAUCUUAUUGUAACAAUCUGAUGUUACAACAAAGUCAACCGUUUCUCCAUGAGGAAUUUCGUAAGCUUAACCUUCACAUUGUUCCUCAAGGAUUUCUUUCCACUUUGGUAGCAAAACCUACUCUUACGGAUCAAAUCAUUGCUGCCCAAAAGCGAGAUAAGGGAAUAUCUAAAAUCAAAGAGAACAUUGCUAGCGGAGGUGCUAGUUGUUUCUCCACAAAUGAUCAUGGUGUUGUGUACUUUGAGAACCGCCUAGUGGUUCCCAAGAAUCAGCAUCUACGGCAGUUGAUCCUUAAGGAGGCUCAUGAAUCUCCUCUCACCAUUCAUCCCGGUAGUACUAAGAUGUAUCAG
rnacentral:rRNA from 1 species